CAAAAGUGGCUGGAGACCCCAUGGAGGUCAGUGGUUCCUGAUGGGAUGACUCAGGGGACCCCAGAGGUGGAUGGAGACCACACUGGGGUCACUGGGACCUGAUGGGGUGACCUAAAGGACCCCAAAAGUGGCUGGAGACCCCAUGGGGUCAUUGGGGACCCUUGGAAUGGCCAUGGGGACCCCAGUAGUGGAUGGAGACCCCAUAGGGGCACUGGGGAUGCUUGGAGUGGUCUGAGGGACCCCAAAAGUGGCUGGAGACCCCAUGGGGGUCAGUGGGGACCUCUUGGGGUGGCCUAAGGGACCCCCAAAAGUGGCUGGAGACCCCAUGGGGGUCAAUGGGUCCUGAUGGGAUGGCCCAGGGGACCGCAGAAAUGGAUGGAGACCACAUGGGGGACACUGGGGACUCUUGGAAUGGUCUAAGGGACCCCCAAAAUUCAACAGAGACCCCGUGGGGUCUAUGGGACCUGAUGGGAUGGCCCGAGGGACCCCAAGAGUGGAUGGAGACCCCACUGAGGUCAGUGGGGACCUUUGGGGUGGUCUAAGGGACCCCAAAAGUGGCGGGAGACCCCACAGGGGCACUGGAGACUCUUGGAACGGCCAGAGGAACCCCAAAAGUGGCUGGAGACCCCGUGGGGUCACUGGGACCUGAUGGGAUGGCCCAGGGGACCCCAAAAGUGGCUGGAGAGCCCAUUGGGGUCAGUGGGGACCUCUUGGGGUGGUCUAAGGGACCCCAAAAGUGGCUGGAGAUCCCAUAGGGGCACCGGGUCCCGAUGGGGCGGCCCCGGGGUUCGCAGAAGCGGACGGAGGCAGGCGGGGCCGUCACCGGGAUUUAUUGGGGCUCCUGCCCCCGGCGCAGGCUGAGGACGCUGGGGUUGGGGUACUCGGGUUCCUCCACGGCCCCCGGCCCGAACUUGAGCUCCAGGAACUCGCGGGCGUUGUUGGGCCCCAUGGCGGUGAAGCCGGCGAAGGGCAGCGGCACGGUGGGGAGCAGGAAGCGCUCGGGGAACUCGACGUCCUGCGGGUGGCCCAGCCACGUCUCCUUGGUCAUCACCCCGGCGCGGGGGUAGAAGGGCCACAGGUCGACGUGCAGCCGGUUGCUGCGGCUGUAGUGCACGCGGUAGAACCCCCCCUCGGCCGCCCGCUCCCACACGAAGCCCUGCUCGUCCUCCACGGGGCCGCCCCGCUCCGCCUCCCGCAGCCAGCGGCACUUGGCCGCGUCCUCGCGGUAGAUGCCCAUGUCCACGUCGUAGUCCCAGGGGAUGACGUCCCGCAGGCGCACGGCGCCCAGCAGCGAGCCGCCCUCCAGCCAGUAGCGCACCCCGGCCCCUUCCAGCGCCGCCGCCACGUGCCG
rnacentral:lncRNA from 1 species